rnacentral:rRNA from 1 species
CAGUCGCCACGUAAUACGGAGGGUGCAAGCGUUAAUCGGAAUUACUGGGCGUAAAGCGCACGCAGGCGGUCUGACAAGUCAGAUGUGAAAUCCCCGGGCUUAACCUGGGAACUGCAUUUGAAACUGUCAGGCUGGAGUCUUGUAGAGGGGGGUAGAAUUCCAGGUGUAGCGGUGAAAUGCGUAGAGAUCUGGAGGAAUACCGGUGGCGAAGGCGGCCCCCUGGACAAAGACUGACGCUCAGGUGCGAAAGCGUGGGGAGCAAACAGGAUUAGAUACCCCUGUAGUCCCUGUCUCUUAUACC